rnacentral:rRNA from 1 species
AUUGAACGCUGGCGGCAUGCCUUACACAUGCAAGUCGAACGGUAACGCGGGGCAACCUGGCGACGAGUGGCGAACGGGUGAGUAAUGCAUCGGAACGUGCCCAGUAGUGGGGGAUAGCCCGGCGAAAGCCGGAUUAAUACCGCAUACGACCUACGGGUGAAAGGGGGGGAUCGCAAGACCUCUCGCUAUUGGAGCGGCCGAUGUCAGAUUAGGUAGUUGGUGGGGUAAAGGCCUACCAAGCCUACGAUCUGUAGCUGGUCUGAGAGGACGACCAGCCACACUGGGACUGAGACACGGCCCAGACUCCUACGGGAGGCAGCAGUGGGGAAUUUUUGGACAAUGGGCGCAAGCCUGAUCCAGCCAUGCCGCGUGCGGGAAGAAGGCCUUC